rnacentral:rRNA from 1 species
GUGAGGAAUAUUGGUCAAUGGGCGCAAGCCUGAACCAGCCAUGCCGCGUGCAGGAAGACGGUCCUAUGGAUUGUAAACUGCUUUUAUUUGGGAAUAAACUCCGGUACGUGUACCGGCCUGAAGGUACCAAAUGAAUAAGCACCGGCUAACUCCGUGCCAGCAGCCGCGGUAAUACGGAGGGUGCAAGCGUUAUCCGGAAUCAUUGGGUUUAAAGGGUCCGCAGGCGGUCUUAUAAGUCAGUGGUGAAAGCCUACAGCUCAACUGUAGAACUGCCAUUGAUACUGUAGGACUUGAAUUCGAUCGAAGUGGGCGGAAUGUGACAUGUAGCGGUGAAAUGCUUAGAUAUGUCACGGAACACCGAUAGCGAAGGCAGCUCACUAGGUCUGGAUUGACGCUCAGGGACGAAAGCGUGGGGAGCAAACAGGAUUAGAAACCCCUGUAGUCC